GUCCAGCCCCUGCACGGGCGCCAGGAAGGGGCUGUGCGGCUGCGCGGGGCUCGGGAGCGGCACGGGCGCGCUGGGCAGCAGUGUCCUCACCACCUGGGAGCUCCUUAAGAAAUGCGGAACCUCAGGCUCUGCCUCUUAUCUAAUUAAUCUGGAUAUGGAUUUGAACAAGAUCCUCAGUGGACUCCAGUGUACUUCAGAGUUCCAGAAACACUGCUCUAGCAGAACUUGGAAGCCACCGUUUGGUGUUUAACAACUGAUGGUUAUCUGAUGGGCGAAUAAAUCCCAGCAUCCUUCGCCUAGUUGGCCGCAGGUCUUUUUGGGAAUGCUGUACCCCUGCACAGUAGGACCUGUGAUCUGAGGAGAUCUUGGAUGUACAUCCCAACUCCGCUUAUGUGAAGGUCUUGGGCAAGUUGCUGCACCCUGGUUUCUGCAUCCAUGAAACAGAGUUGAUACCUCCUUCCUAGGCUUAUUGAGUUAACUCAGCGAGGAGCUGGAAGAUCAAGAUGAAGUCUGCAAAGUGGAGCUUAGCGUGGUACCCCUCACAUCAGAAACACGACCCAGAGGUGAUGAUGGCACAGCUGCUGGAGGCCUCACGCUGCCUGGAGGAAGAGUAGCACCUGGAUCCUGGCACUACAGCUUGGAACACUUCUGAAUUCUUUGCCUUCCAGCAGAAAGGGGGUUUCUUUUUUUCUUUCUUUUUUUUUUUUUUUAAGAUUUUAUUUAUUUAUUCAUGAGAGACCCAGAGAGAGAGGCAGAGACACAGGCAGAGGGAGAAGCAGGCUCCAUUCAGGGGGCCUGAUGCAGGACCCGAUGCUCGAACUCCAGGAUCGCGCCCUGGGCCAGAGGCAGACACCCAACCCCUGAGCCACCCACGUGUCCCAUAAGUGGGGUUUCUCUGCCUGCUAGAGUGGGAUGUGGCUUCUCUGAAGUGCAGCUUGCAGAGAAGUCAGUUUUCCCACAAGGGGCCUUGUAUGACUUCUCAGCCAGUCCUCAUUGGAGUGUUUUUGGCACAGCUGUUGGCAGAGCUCUCCUGCCAGGUGACCUGGGUUCUGGUUCUGGCUCUCCACUCUGUAGAGUUGGGACUUGUCGACCAUGAUUGCAUGGGCCAAUUCCUUAAAAAUCUUUCUCUGUCUCUUUUUCCCUUGUACACACAGAUACAUACACACCCUCUUGGUCCUGUUUCUCUGAACCCUGAUCAAUACUCCCAGAAUCGUGUUAGCUCCUGGGUAGAGUGAUCAACAGACCUGAGAGACUCAGCCAGCCUCCUGAGAGAGUCCCUUAGCCCCCUGAGAGAGUCCCUUGCAGUGAGGGAUUGGAGGUCCGAUGGUACCUAGUGAUGGCAGACAGUGGACACACAAGGCGGGGGUGGUUGGAGAGCAGACUGUGGUCAGGAGAGACCCCCAAGGAGGACAUGGGUUUGGGUUGACCAAGGAUGAGUGGAGCACCUGGAGAACCAGGCUGUGGGGCAGUCGAGGCUGAGGGAGCGUAUGAAGCAGGGCAUGGAGGUAUCGAGGAGCCACGGGGAGAGGGGGCAAGUCUCCUCACCCCUCCUCUCUGGUUGGCUGUCACUUCCAAGGGAAGCCUUUCUGGCUUCUGUAUUUGGGUGAAGCCCUUAAUAUAUAGUCCCAGCAUCCUGUACUUGUGACACAUAAUCCCAUUGUUGUGUAAUUGCAUUUUUUAACCGAUUAUUUGAUAAAUAAUCUGUAAUCUGAGUGUAAAGUGACCCGGAGAAGCUUGUUACUGGUGAUGGGGAAGAGAGUGAGGGGUUCUUACUGAAACCCAUGAGACAAGUGACAGAGUGACGAAGGCGGUGGCCAUGGGGAUGCCGGGGUGGGUGGAGACAGACGUCAAGGAGAAGGGGCUGUUUGCCGCAGGGCUCUAGAUUGUCUCUUUCUGGUUUAUUACGAUUUCCCCAGAACUUAGUGUGGCAUUUGGCACACAUAGGGACUCUGUCACGUUGGUUAUGGAAUAAAGGAAUGCCUAGUAGACACGUGCCUGGCA